AUUUGUAGUGUGAAAUUUGAUACUUAUAGGACAAUCAUGAUCUGCAUGACAAACUAAGUUCUUCAUGUAGAAUUGUUCAUUGUUUAACUCACAAAUUGACGGAAAGGUUGAAGAAGUGUUUCACAAAUAGAUGUAGUGAGAAGACAAUAUGGCAUCCUCUCAGCGUAGUGGGGUAUGUACUCCCUUUCAGGACUUGACAAACAGCGGCAAUUUAGGUAAAUACUACUUCGACCUUGUAAAUCCUGAAUAUUUCAUUCCCUCACAGGUCAAAAAACAGAUCCAAAAAAUUGAAGAGAUAAAGGGAAAGGGAGAGGUAUGCACUAAACAGGGAUGCAAUAUUAAAAAGAAGACAGGAGGCAAGGGAUCGUAAGAAAGCUACAUCGGCUAUUCUCAAUGGAAACAACACUCCAUCUAAGCCACCCAUGUCCAUGUCGCCUAGUUUCUCUAUUUUCUCUAUUCUUUAUGAUACAUUCGUGAAUAACAAGUAAAGUCAUAUUAAUGAUCAGUUCGUUUGGGCAGAUUUUGACACUGUAGAGAGGCCCAGUGCACCAUCUGUUGUUACCCAGCGUGGGUACACACCGGCUACGGAAGGUGAUGUUUCUCUUGACAAACAUAAUAGCUUCCUUUCCGUGUCAACAAAACUGACACAGUACAUACAUUUGUGAUGUAGGUAUACCUGUUGAUGUCGUAAUGACUGAUCAGACUCCACUUCAUGGUCCAAAUUCAUUAAGAACACCCGUAAAUGUCAACAAUGUCGAGUCUGCCAUUGAGUCCUCCCAACUAACUGGGUUACGACCACCACUUCAAGCCUACAAAUGCAGCAUGUCAUAUGGUAAUCAAUUGUUCCUCAUAUUAUCUAUGAUACAUAAUUGACACUUAGAUCGUACAGAGGAAAAACAACUUCUUCUCAUAUUGCAUUGUCUACUAUACAUAAUUCACACUUAUUCUACAGAAAGAAAAACAAGCACUUAAGAGGGAGAGGGAAAAUGCCCGGUAUGAGCAACAUGAAUAAGGGAUAUUACAGAGCCUACGUGACAAACGGCGUCGAGCCAAAUCUACAGUUGUCCCAACAACCGGAGAACAAACUCAAUCCAGUACAUGUGAUGCCAGCUACAUCAAACACAUGAUAUCCAAUCUUUGAUUUCCUAAUUGAUAGUCACUCAAUAUUUCUGUAGCUGAUGAAGAUUGUGAUUGGCUACACAAAAAUGAUACAUACCAGAUGCAAAACAUUGGAGGGAGGAUGACGCCAGUCAACAUACUCAGUAAGCCGUCGUGUGGACACAAUC
rnacentral:lncRNA from 1 species